rnacentral:rRNA from 1 species
GAUGAACGCUGGCGGCGUGCCUAAUACAUGCAAGUCGAGCGAACGGACGAGAAGCUUGCUUCUCUGAUGUUAGCGGCGGACGGGUGAGUAACACGUGGAUAACCUACCUAUAAGACUGGGAUAACUUCGGGAAACCGGAGCUAAUACCGGAUAAUAUUUUGAACCGCAUGGUUCAAAAGUGAAAGACGGUCUUGCUGUCACUUAUAGAUGGAUCCGCGCUGCAUUAGCUAGUUGGUAAGGUAACGGCUUACCAAGGCAACGAUGCAUAGCCGACCUGAGAGGGUGACCGGCCACACUGGAACUGAGACACGGUCCAGACUCCUACGGGAGGCAGCAGUAGGGAAUCUUCCGCAAUGGGCGAAAGCCUGACGGAGCAACGCCGCGUGAGUGAUGAAGGUCUUCGGAUCGUAAAACUCUGUUAUUAGGGAAGAACAUAUGUGUAAGUAACUGUGCACAUCUUGACGGUACCUAAUCAGAAAGCCACGGCUAACUACGUGCCAGCAGCCGCGGUAAUACGUAGGUGGCAAGCGUUAUCCGGAAUUAUUGGGCGUAAAGCGCGCGUAGGCGGUUUUUUAAGUCUGAUGUGAAAGCCCACGGCUCAACCGUGGAGGGUCAUUGGAAACUGGAAAACUUGAGUGCAGAAGAGGAAAGUGGAAUUCCAUGUGUAGCGGUGAAAUGCGCAGAGAUAUGGAGGAACACCAGUGGCGAAGGCGACUUUCUGGUCUGUAACUGACGCUGAUGUGCGAAAGCGUGGGGAUCAAACAGGAUUAGAUACCCUGGUAGUCCACGCCGUAAACGAUGAGUGCUAAGUGUUAGGGGGUUUCCGCCCCUUAGUGCUGCAGCUAACGCAUUAAGCACUCCGCCUGGGGAGUACGACCGCAAGGUUGAAACUCAAAGGAAUUGACGGGGACCCGCACAAGCGGUGGAGCAUGUGGUUUAAUUCGAAGCAACGCGAAGAACCUUACCAAAUCUUGACAUCCUUUGACAACUCUAGAGAUAGAGCCUUCCCCUUCGGGGGACAAAGUGACAGGUGGUGCAUGGUUGUCGUCAGCUCGUGUCGUGAGAUGUUGGGUUAAGUCCCGCAACGAGCGCAACCCUUAAGCUUAGUUGCCAUCAUUAAGUUGGGCACUCUAAGUUGACUGCCGGUGACAAACCGGAGGAAGGUGGGGAUGACGUCAAAUCAUCAUGCCCCUUAUGAUUUGGGCUACACACGUGCUACAAUGGACAAUACAAAGGGCAGCGAAACCGCGAGGUCAAGCAAAUCCCAUAAAGUUGUUCUCAGUUCGGAUUGUAGUCUGCAACUCGACUACAUGAAGCUGGAAUCGCUAGUAAUCGUAGAUCAGCAUGCUACGGUGAAUACGUUCCCGGGUCU